rnacentral:tRNA from 1 species
AUUAAGGUUUGCAAGACUUUAUCUUACAUAGUUUGAAUGCAACUCAAACACUUUAAUUAAGAUAAAACCUU